rnacentral:rRNA from 1 species
GGGACACGUGGUAUCCUGUCUGAAUAUGGGGGGACCAUCCUCCAAGGCUAAAUACUCCUGACUGACCGAUAGUGAACCAGUACCGUGAGGGAAAGGCGAAAAGAACCCCGGCGAGGGGAGUGAAAAAGAACCUGAAACCGUGUACGUACAAGCAGUGGGAGCACGCUUAGGCGUGUGACUGCGUACCUUUUGUAUAAUGGGUCAGCGACUUAUAUUCUGUAGCAAGGUUAACCGAAUAGGGGAGCCGAAGGGAAACCGAGUCUUAACUGGGCGUUAAGUUGCAGGGUAUAGACCCGAAACCCGGUGAUCUAGCCAUGGGCAGGUUGAAGGUUGGGUAACACUAACUGGAGGACCGAACCGACUAAUGUUGAAAAAUUAGCGGAUGACUUGUGGCUGGGGGUGAAAGGCCAAUCAAACCGGGAGAUAGCUGGUUCUCCCCGAAAGCUAUUUAGGUAGCGCCUCGUGAAUUCAUCUCCGGGGGUAGAGCACUGUUUCGGCAAGGGGGUCAUCCCGACUUACCAACCCGAUGCAAACUGCGAAUACCGGAGAAUGUUAUCACGGGAGACACACGGCGGGUGCUAACGUCCGUCGUGAAGAGGGAAACAACCCAGACCGCCAGCUAAGGUCCCAAAGUCAUGGUUAAGUGGGAAACGAUGUGGGAAGGCCCAGACAGCCAGGAUGUUGGCUUAGAAGCAGCCAUCAUUUAAAGAAAGCGUAAUAGCUCACUGGUCGAGUCGGCCUGCGCGGAAGAUGUAACGGGGCUAAACCAUGCACCGAAGCUGCGGCAGCGACGCUUAUGCGUUGUUGGGUAGGGGAGCGUUCUGUAAGCCUGUGAAGGUGUGCUGUGAGGCAUGCUGGAGGUAUCAGAAGUGCGAAUGCUGACAUAAGUAACGAUAAAGCGGGUGAAAAGCCCGCUCGCCGGAAGACCAAGGGUUCCUGUCCAACGUUAAUCGGGGCAGGGUGAGUCGACCCCUAAGGCGAGGCCGAAAGGCGUAGUCGAUGGGAAACAGGUUAAUAUUCCUGUACUUGGUGUUACUGCGAAGGGGGGACGGAGAAGGCUAUGUUGGCCGGGCGACGGUUGUCCCGGUUUAAGCGUGUAGGCUGGUUUUCCAGGCAAAUCCGGAAAAUCAAGGCUGAGGCGUGAUGACGAGGCACUACGGUGCUGAAGCAACAAAUGCCCUGCUUCCAGGAAAAGCCUCUAAGCAUCAGGUAACAUCAAAUCGUACCCCAAACCGACACAGG